CCUACGGGACGCAGCAGUGGGGAAUUUUGGACAAUGGGCGCAAGCCUGAUCCAGCUAUUCCGCGUGUGGGAUGAAGGCCCUCGGGUUGUAAACCACUUUUGUAGAGAACGAAAAGACACCUUCGAAUAAAGGGUGUUGCUGACGGUACUCUAAGAAUAAGCACCGGCUAACUCCGUGCCAGCAGCCGCGGUAAUACGGAGGAUGCGAGCGUUAUCCGGAUUUAUUGGGUUUAAAGGGUGCGUAGGCGGGACGGUAAGUCAGCGGUAAAAAUGCGGAGCUCAACUCCGUCGAGCCGUUGAAACUGU
rnacentral:rRNA from 1 species